CCUUAGAGUUUGAUCCUGGCUCAGGAUGAACGCUAGCUACAGGCUUAACACAUGCAAGUCGAAGGGCAGCAUAAACUUAGCUUGCUAAGUUUGAUGGCGACCGGCGCACGGGUGAGUAACGCGUAUCCAACCUUCCGUACACUCAGGGAUAGCCUUUCGAAAGAAAGAUUAAUACCUGAUGGUAUGAUGAGAUUGCAUGAUAGCAUCAUUAAAGAUUUAUCGGUGUACGAUGGGGAUGCGUUCCAUUAGGUAGUAGGCGGGGUAACGGCCCACCUAGCCAACGAUGGAUAGGGGUUCUGAGAGGAAGGUCCCCCACAUUGGAACUGAGACACGGUCCAAACUCCUACGGGAGGCAGCAGUGAGGAAUAUUGGUCAAUGGACGAGAGUCUGAACCAGCCAAGUAGCGUGAAGGAUGAAGGUCCUACGGAUUGUAAACUUCUUUUAUAAGGGAAUAAACCCUCCCACGUGUGGGAGCUUGUAUGUACCUUAUGAAUAAGCAUCGGCUAACUCCGUGCCAGCAGCCGCGGUAAUACGGAGGAUGCGAGCGUUAUCCGGAUUUAUUGGGUUUAAAGGGAGCGCAGACGGGUCGUUAAGUCAGCUGUGAAAGUUUGGGGCUCAACCUUAAAAUUGCAGUUGAUACUGGCGUCCUUGAGUGCGGUUGAGGUGUGCGGAAUUCGUGGUGUAGCGGUGAAAUGCUUAGAUAUCACGAAGAACUCCGAUUGCGAAGGCAGCACACUAAUCCGUAACUGACGUUCAUGCUCGAAAGUGUGGGUAUCAAACAGGAUUAGAUACCCUGGUAGUCCACACGGUAAACGAUGGAUACUCGCUGUUGGCGAUAUACUGUCAGCGGCUUAGCGAAAGCGUUAAGUAUCCCACCUGGGGAGUACGCCGGCAACGGUGAAA
rnacentral:rRNA from 1 species